GGAUUAGAUACCCUGGUAGUCCACGCCCUAAACGAUGGACACUAGGCGUUAGAGGUAUCGACCCCUCUAGUGCCGCAGCUAACGCAUUAAGUGUCCCGCCUGGGGAGUACGCUCGCAAGGGUGAAACUCAAAUGAAUUGACGGGGACCCGCACAAGCGGUGGAGCAUGUGGAUUAAUUCGAUACUAACCGAAGAACCUUACCCAGACUUGACAUCGCGGGAAAGCCUAUGAAAGUAGGCCCUCUUCCCACAAGGAAGACCCAAAGACACCUGUUGCAUGGCUGUCGUCAGCUCGUGCCG
rnacentral:rRNA from 1 species